rnacentral:SRP_RNA from 1 species
GUCAGGCGUUGUGGUGGGCGCCUGUGGUCCCAGCUACUUGGGAGGCUGAGGCAGGAGACUCGCUUGAGCCCAGGAGUUGGAGGUUGCUGUGAGCUGUGAUGCCAUAGCACUCUACCCAGGGGGAUAACUUGAGGCUCUGUCUCAAAAAAAAAAAAAGAAACAGAACAGAGCCUCAAGCUGUCAGCCUGGGUAGAGUGCUGUGGCAUCAUCACAGCUCACAGCAACCUCCAACUCCUGGGCUCAAGCGAUUCUCCUGCCUU